rnacentral:rRNA from 1 species
UACGGAAGGCAGCAGUGGGGAAUAUUGCACAAUGGGCGAAAGCCUGAUGCAGCUAUGCCGCGUGUAUGAAGAAGGCCUUAGGGUUGUAAAGUACUUUCAUCGGGGAGGAAAAAACAAAACUAAUAAUUUUAUUUCUUGACGUUACCCGAAAAAGAAGCACCGGCUAACUCCGUGCCAGCAGCCGCGGUAAUACGGAGGGUGCUAGCGUUAAUCAGAAUUACUGGGCGUAAGAGCACGUAGGUGGUUUUUUUAAGUUCAGAUGUGAAAUCCCUGGGCUUAACCUAGGAACUGCAUUUUGAAACUGAAAUACUAGAGUAUCGUAGAGGGAGGUAGAAUUCUAGGUGUAGCGGUGAAAUGCGUAGAUAUCUGGAGGAAUACCUGUGGCGAAAGCGGCCUCCUAAACGAAUACUGACACUGAGGUGCGAAAGCGUGGGGAGCAAACAGGGAUUAGAUACC